UUUCUUGUGUGACCGCGUACUUUUUGUAGAACGGGCCAACGAGUUACGUUAAGUAGCAAGGUUAAGCACUUAAGGUGUGGAGCCGUAGCGAAAGCGAGUUUUAACUGAGCGUUCAGUUACUUGACGUAGACCCGAAACCGGGCGACCUACCCAUGAGCAGGAUGAAGCGAAAGUAAAAUUUCGUGGAGGUCCGAACCCACGAGCGUUGAAAAGCUCGGGGAUGACUUGUGGGUAGCGGUGAAAUUCCAAUCGAGCCCGGAGAUAGCUGGUUCUCCCCGAAAUAGCUUUAGGGCUAGCCUCAAGGUGAGAGAUACGGAGGUAGAGCACUGAAUGUCCUAGGGGGUAUUGCACCUACCGAAGACUAUCAAACUCCGAAUGCCGUCAUCUUAUACUUGGGAGUCAGACUGUGGGUGAUAAGAUUCAUAGUCGAAAGGGCAACAGCCCAGAUCGUCAGCUAAGGUCCCUAAAUGUAAGUUAAGUGGUAAAGGAUGUGGGAUUGCACAGACAACCAGGAUGUUGGCUUAGAAGCAGCCACUCAUUCAAAGAGUGCGUAAUAGCUCACUGGUCGAGUGAUCCUGCGCCGAAGAUUUCCGGGGCUAAAACUUACUACCGAAGCUACGGCAUCAGUAAUGAUGGGUAGGGGAGCUUCCCAUACGGGUUGAAGCAUGACCGUAAGGACAUGUGGACAGUAUGGGAGUGAGAAUGUUGGCAUGAGUAGCGAGAUGUGGGUGAGAAUCCCACAGGCCGUAAACCCAAGGUUUCCAGGGGAAGGUUCGUCCGCCCUGGGUUAGUCGGGACCUAAGCUGAGGCCGAAAGGCGUAGGUGAUGGACAACAGGUUGAUAUUCCUGUACUACCGAUAACCGUUUGAGAGAAGGGAUGACACAGUAGGAUAAGCUAAGCACACUGUUGGUUAUGUGUGCCCAAGCAUUGAGGCAGUCAAAGUAGGCAAAUCCGCUUUGAUAAUGCUGGGAUGUGAUGGGGAGCGAAAUUUAGUAGCGAAGUAGCUGAUUUCACACUGUCAAGAAAAGUCUCUAUCGAGGUUAAAGGUACCCGUACCGCAAACCGACACAGGUGGGUGAGGAGAGUAUCCUAAGGCCAGCGAGAGAACUGUUGUUAAGGAACUCGGCAAAAUGACCCCGUAACUUAGGGAUAAGGGGUGCCACCAUCAGGUGGCCGCAGAGAAUAGGCCCAAGCGACUGUUUACCAAAAACAUAGGUUUCUGCUAAGUCGCAAGACGAUGUAUAGGAGCUGACGCCUGCCCGGUGCUGGAAGGUUAAGGGGAUCUGUUAGAGUAAUCGAAGCAGUGAACUUAAGCCCCAGUAAACGGCGGCCGUAACUAUAACGGUCCUAAGGUAGCGAAAUUCCUUGUCGGGUAAGUUCCGACCCGCACGAAAGGCGUAACGAUUUGGGCACUGUCUCAACAACAGACUCGGUGAAAUUGUAAUUCCGGUGAAGAUGCCGGAUACCUGCGACAGGACGGAAAGACCCCAUGGAGCUUUACUGUAGCUUGACAUUGGGUCUUGGUACUACAUGUACAGGAUAGGUGGGAGGCUUUGAAACCAGGACGCCAGUUUUGGCGGAGCCAUCCUUGGGAUACCACCCUUGUAGUACUGGGACUCUAACCAUAGGCCAUGAAUCUGGUCUUGGGACACUGUCAGGUGGGCAGUUUGACUGGGGCGGUCGCCUCCCAAAAGGUAACGGAGGCGCUCAAAGGUUCUCUCAGUACGGUCGGAAAUCGUACGUAGAGUGUAAAGGCAAAAGAGAGCUUGAUUGCAAGACAUACAGGUCGAGCAAGGAUGAA
rnacentral:rRNA from 1 species